rnacentral:rRNA from 1 species
ACGAACGCUGGCGGCAGGCCUAACACAUGCAAGUCGAGCGCGCCCUUCGGGGUGAGCGGCGGACGGGUGAGUAACGCGUGGGAACGUGCCCUUUUCUACGGAAUAGCCUCGGGAAACUGAGAGUAAUACCGUAUACGCCCUUUGGGGGAAAGAUUUAUCGGAAAAGGAUCGGCCCGCGUUGGAUUAGGUAGUUGGUGGGGUAAUGGCCUACCAAGCCGACGAUCCAUAGCUGGUUUGAGAGGAUGAUCAGCCACACUGGGACUGAGACACGGCCCAGACUCCUACGGGAGGCAGCAGUGGGGAAUCUUAGACAAUGGGGGCAACCCUGAUCUAGCCAUGCCGCGUGAGUGAUGAAGGCCUUAGGGUUGUAAAGCUCUUUCAGCUGGGAAGAUAAUGACGGUACCAGCAGAAGAACCCCCGGCUAACUCCGUG